rnacentral:rRNA from 1 species
AAAUUAAGGACAAGAAGACCCUAAGAAUUUUUAAUAAUUUUAAAAAAGUUUUUUUUAAAUUAUUUUAAUUGGGGCGAUUAACAAAAAUAAGAAACUUUAUUUUUCCAAAAAAAUGAACCAUUAAUAAUGGUCAUAUGAAAAAAAUACUCUAGGGAUAACAGCGUAAUAAUUUUAGAUAGUUCUUAUAGACAAAAUAGUUUGCGACCUCGAUGUUGGAUUAGGAUUCUUAUUUAAUGAAGAAGUUAAAAAAAGAAGUUUGUUCAACUUUUAAAAUCCUACUUGAUCUGAGUUCAGACCGG